rfam:Vigna angularis cultivar Jingnong 6 scaffold828_28, whole genome shotgun sequence.
GUCCAGCGGUUAGGAUAUCUGGCUUUUAUCCAGGAGAUCCAGGUUCGAUUCCCGG